AUACCAGUGAAGAUGCUGGUUACCCGCGCCAGGACGGAAAGACCCCAUGGAGCUUUACUCCAGCCUGAUACUGGGAUUCGGUAUUGCAUGUACAGGAUAGGUGGGAGGCUGAGAAGUGGCGACGCCAGUCGCUAUGGAGCCGCUGUUGGGAUACCACCCUUGCAGUACUGGGUUUCUAACCAUGAGCCGUGACCCGGCCAUGGGACAAUGUCAGGCGGGGAGUUUGACUGGGGCGGUCGCCUCCGAAAGGGUAUCGGAGGCGCUCGAAGGUCUCCUCAGGAUGGUUGGAAACCAUCCAGAGAGUGCAAAGGCAGAAGGAGGCUUGACUGCGACACCGACGGGUGGAGCAGGUACGAAAGUAGGACUUAGUGAUCCGGUGGCAUAACGUGGGAUUGCCAUCGCUCAACGGAUAAAAGCUACCCUGGGGAUAACAGGCUUAUCACUCCCAAGAGUUCACAUCGACGGAGUGGUUUGGCACCUCGAUGUCGGCUCAUCGCAUCCUGGAGCUGGAGCAGGUUCCAAGGGUUGGGCUGUUCGCCCAUUAAAGCGGUACGCGAGCUGGGUUCAGAACGUCGUGAGACAGUUCGGUCCCUAUCCGGCGCGGGCGCAGGAGAUCUGAGAGGAGCUGUCCUUAGUACGAGAGGACCGGGAUGGACCGUCCGCUGGUGGACCAGUUGUCAUGCCAAUGGCACGGCUGGGUAGCCAAGACGGGGAGGGAUAAACGCUGAAGGCAUCUAAGCGUGAAGCCCCCCUCAAGAUGAGAUCUCCUAGCAGAAAUGUGAGAGACCCCUUAGAGAC
rnacentral:rRNA from 1 species